rnacentral:rRNA from 1 species
UACCAGCACCCCGAGUGGUCGGGACGAUUAUUGGGCCUAAAGCAUCCGUAGCCGGUUCUGCAAGUCUUCCGUUAAAUCCACCUGCUCAACAGAUGGGCUGCGGAGGAUACUACAGGGCUAGGAGGCGGGAGAGGCAAGCGGUACUCAGUGGGUAGGGGGUAAAAUCCUCUGAUCCACUGAAGACCACCAGUGGCGAAGGCGGCUUGCCAGAACGCGCUCGACGGUGAGGGAUGAAAGCUGGGGGAGCAAACCGG